rnacentral:rRNA from 1 species
GACGAACGCUGGCGGCGUGCUUAACACAUGCAAGUCGAACGGAAAGGCCCUGCUUUUGUGGGGUGCUCGAGUGGCGAACGGGUGAGUAACACGUGAGUAACCUGCCCUUGACCUUGGGAUAACUUCAGGAAACUGGGGCUAAUACCGGAUAGGAGCUCCUGCUGCAUGGUGGGGGUUGGAAAGUUUCGGCGGUUGGGGAUGGACUCGCGGCUUAUCAGCUUGUUGGUUGGGUAGUGGCUUACCAAGGCUUUGACUGGUAGCCGGCCUGAGAGGGUGACCGGCCACAUUGGGACUGAGAUACGGCCCAGACUCCUACGGGAGGCAGCAGUGGGGAAUAUUGCACAAUGGGCGGAAGCCUGAUGCAGCAACGCCGCGUGCGGGAUGACGGCCUUCGGGUUGUAAACCGCUUUCGCCUGUGACGAAGCGUGAGUGACGGUAAUGGGUAAAGAAGCACCGGCUAACUACGUG